CCACCCUCCAUUUCUGCCUCAGAUCUAUGUUCAACUGUCUGCUGACCUAUGAGCUGGAUCAUUUCACACCCUGACCUGACUUAAAAUCCAGUUGUUGGGGCCCAAGUGAUAAGACAGUGGGUAAGGUGCUGGCCUUGCACGCACUCCACCCGGGUCUGAUCACAGGCAGUACAUACGGACGGGGAAUGCCUCGUUGUUAAAAACAACAACAAAAUAAAAGGAGAUCCAGUUAUUACAGCCUAUUGAAUUGCAAGAAAACUUCCUGUUUGGGACUGGAGCGAUAGCAUAGCGGAUAGGGCAUUUGCCUUGCACGCAGCCUACCCGGGUUUGAUUCCUAGCAUCCCACAUGGUCCCCCGAGAACCGCCAGAAUGUAAACCCCUUCCCCUAGACCGUAACUGUUCAACCUGACUUCCACACUUCACUUUUCAGAUACUAAAUUAUUUCUACUUUAACCUGGAGUGUUGUCUGACUCACAUAAGCAGGCCAGUGUUUUUGUCCUGAUCGCCCUUACACGUUGAACAGAACUAUACAUGUAGUGCCUUUAACCUAAAGUGGAGUUUUACCAUCUUCCUCUAGGGCUCCUUAAUAGCAGGGAAUCCAUUACAACUGCAGUGCAGUGAUGCUCAAGGAAAAUUAUUUUUGCUUGGAUCAGUCAUGUACAUUAUUGACUGAAAACCCCGUGUGUCAGAAUAUUCCUAAUUCAGUCUCUACUUGGAUGUUUUUCUGGGGGCUUUUCCAUCUAAAUCUGGCCAAGAUAGAUUACCAAAUAGUUAUUAUAAACAAAUGUUGGAUAAGCUUCCAUAAUUUUUCGAUUUGUCCACUACUGGCAGCUUUUCUUUUUUUCAGUGUGUUUGGAAUGUGCUUAGGGAAACAAAAACUUGCAGUUGUUUGAAAUUUGCAAACUUAACUUCACCAAAUUCUAGACUCAACUUCGUUCGAGCACCCUUUUGUGACCACCUUUGGAGAUAAAACUUGACCUGUAAGAGAUCUUUAGGUUAGUUUAAUCUGUUGAGAAUUUAGAAAUAAUUCAAUUUGUAAAACUAAAUAUGUCUAAAUUAGUUGGUUAUAGAAUACCCGCGUCAAUAAAACUUAAGGAUAAAUUAACUGAUCACUGCCAGAUAUGUGGGGCAAAGUUUAAAUACCCUGAACAUUACUGGAUGUGCUUUUUUUGUGUGUUUGCUUUUUGGGUCACACCUGGCAAUGCAGAGGGGUUACUCCUGGCUCUGCACUCAGGAAUCACCCCUGGUGGUGCUCAGAGGACCAUAUGGGAUGCUGGGAAUCGAACCUGGGUUGGCCGUGUGCAAGGCAAACGCCCUACCCGCUGUAAUAUUGCUCCAUGGAUGUGCUUUUAACAACUUCUUCCCCGUUUUUUUCCAGUGAUAGUACCACUACAGUCUAGGAAAUGGGGCUAUUUGGUUGUUAGAAUAACAAACCUAAAGAAGGGAAUUUUCAAGCUAACAUUUCUGACAGAACUAGCUUUAGAAGACUCGCUUGUCAUUUUAGAAACUAGAGGUACAAAAUGAAAUUUGUGUGGCUUCCAAGAAUGCACAUAGGAGGGCUGGAGCGAUAGCACAGCAGAUAGGGCGUUUGCCUUGCACACGGCCUACCCGGGUUCGAUUCCCAGCAUCCCAUACGGGCCCCCGAGCACUGCCAGGAGUAAUUCCUGAACGCAUGAGUCAGAGUGGCCCAUGUGCAUCGCCGGGUAUGACUCAAAAAGCAAAAUAAAAUUAAAAAAAGGAAUGCAUGUAGCCCUUUAAGCUACUAGGAAUUUUAGACGUUGAAAACACGCCCUGUGCACGGGAUUCAUUAUUAUAUGGUUCACUUGGAUCUGUUGUGACUGGCCUUGGACACUUUUUGUUAACUAGUGAGUAUUAUUUUUCUUUUAACAAAGAUUUUCUGCAUGAACAUUUUUUUAUAUGAAUGAAUAUAUAAUUAGUGGUUAUGCUUUCUUUGACAGGUAGAAUUAAAAGAUCAUGUGAUAUUGGAUUAGGAGGAUUUAUCUUGGUUACUUUAGGAUGCUGGUAAGUGUUCUAAGUAUUAAAGAUUUUUAAAUAACUGGUAAUCUAAUUCCAAAGCACAUGUAUGGUCUUCAGAGCAAGCUCAUUAAGAGAUUCCCAUCUUCUUUAAGUGUAGAU